CUAGAUGCACAAUAGUUGCACCAGCACUACGCCUCACACAUGGUAAUAACAAUUCACGGUUUCAAACUAUAAGAAGUACAGGGUACAACGACUUUGACAAGAAAAAAAUUUGAACCGUUUUUUUGACUUAUGGGUGGCAUAGUAGGUAAUUUAAGCUAACUUCAAGGUCAAUUUAAAUGACGUACCACAUAAGCAAUAGAUGCUUUAUUAAUAGGUAAAGAAAGAUAAUGGGAUCUCGUGAAUCAUGAGCUACAAUGUCUGCGUGUACCAAACUAAUGAGUCGCUCACCUACAAGUUCACCCAUUUAUGUGGCAUUGACGCCACAUAGGUCCAGCCACCCCAAAUGACAUGAACAUCCACCACCAAUAGCUAAUAUUAGAGACUUUGUGUCAGUUGCAACUUCCACCGCCAAUAAAAGGGGAUGCAUUCAUCCCGUUUCUUCUCAAGCACCAACUGUUCUCUCACACUAAUAGACUCGGUAAAAGAACACCUGUACUCUAAACCAUACCGGGAGUUUCAAAUCUUCAUAGCUUCUAAUAUUUCCACUAGAUUUACAAAGAAAUAGUAGUCCAUUUGGUUGAAAAUACAAAGAUGUAUGUUCUUGCUGAACUACAUGCCUAGGGUUCUGAGGCACCGGGAAUAAGAUCGUGGUCUAGUUCAUUCACCAGCUUAACCGCACUAUAGAAUAUCAAAGAGCAAACUGAAGCUGACGCUAGCGAGCUGGAGUCACUUCUAAUUGCACUAGAGAGUUCAUUUCUUUGGUUAUCGUGCAAAGAUAUCAAUGUAGCUCGCACAUUUAUUAAUCAAAACGGCUGCAUGAACCUCAUGAAUACUAUUAGUGUAGCUGAAUCUGAAUUUGAACUAAGACUAGUCGAUUCUUCUUGUGCUUGCCCGUAUUGCACUUUCUUCCGGUACAUACGAUAGGUUGCGGGAGGUCAAUAUUGGCGAAUCAUGAGAGGCGAUGUCACGGGAGAUAGUAUCGAUCCACAAAGUCCGGGUGAACUUACGAUGAUUCCCCUAGAUUAUUUAGGUUUCGGGCAAUAAUGCUUGGCCGGUCAGUCUAUGCACCUUGUUGUGGCCAGCCAUUGCCUGUGACAAAUAAGAACUACUAGCUAUGCAAAGACAAAGUUCCAACUAAAUGGCAAAAGCAAAGGCAACUCUAGCAACAACAAGGCCACAAUGUCCACCGUCUUUCAAAUGCAAAGUUUUUUCACAUUGUAGGUCCAACCUUGUGAUGAUUUGUAGACUUCAUUUGCUAAGUGUUCUAGUAGUUUUGCUCCCUGCUCCAGUACCUCUUUGUUUGUUUCCUUUGUCUGCAAAAUUGACCACCCCAUAAACCAGUGACAUUAGUUUGGUCAAGGUCAUGCCAUCAUGAAUUUUUUAAUCAAAAAUUAUCCCAUUUCUACAUUCGCAUAAAGUCAAUAAAAGUGAGGAAAUCUCCACCAAAACAAGUUUCUUAUCAAUCUUUUAAUAUUUUUUUAUCCAUCUCCCGAAACAUUCUUCAAUUGAAGAGGAAGUAGAUUUCUAACUAUAAGCAUAUUUCAAUAAGCUCCCAUCAAGAGUAGCAGC
rnacentral:lncRNA from 1 species